GUGGCUCGUUAGCUUAACACAUUGCAAGUCGAACGGCAGCACAGGAGAGCUUGCUCUCUGGGUGGCGAGUGGCGGACGGGUGAGGAAUACAUCGGAAUCUACUUUUUCGUGGGGGAUAACGUAGGGAAACUUACGCUAAUACCGCAUACGACCUACGGGUGAAAGCAGGGGAUCUUCGGACCUUGCGCGAUUGAAUGAGCCGAUGUCGGAUUAGCUAGUUGGCGGGGUAAAGGCCCACCAAGGCGACGAUCCGUAGCUGGUCUGAGAGGAUGAUCAGCCACACUGGAACUGAGACACGGUCCAGACUCCUACGGGAGGCAGCAGUGGGGAAUAUUGGACAAUGGGCGCAAGCCUGAUCCAGCCAUACCGCGUGGGUGAAGAAGGCCUUCGGGUUGUAAAGCCCUUUUGUUGGGAAAGAAAUCCAGCUGGCUAAUACCCGGUUG
rnacentral:rRNA from 1 species